UGGGGAAUUUUGGACAAUGGGCGAAAGCCUGAUCCAGCAAUGCCGCGUGUGUGAAGAAGGCCUUCGGGUUGUAAAGCACUUUUGUCCGGAAAGAAAUCCUUGGCUCUAAUACAGUCGGGGGAUGACGGUACCGGAAGAAUAAGCACCGGCUAACUACGUGCCAGCAGCCGCGGUAAUACGUAGGGUGCAAGCGUUAAUCGGAAUUACUGGGCGUAAAGCGUGCGCAGGCGGUUUGCUAAGACCGAUGUGAAAUCCCCGGGCUCAACCUGGGAACUGCAUUGGUGACUGGCAGGCUAGAGUAUGGCAGAGGGGGGUAGAAUUCCACGUGUAGCAGUGAAAUGCGUAGAGAUGUGGAGGAAUACCGAUGGCGAAGGCAGCCCCCUGGGCCAAUACUGACGCUCAUGCACGAAAGCGUGGGGGAGCAAAACAGGAUUAGAUACCCUGGUAGUCCACGCCCUAAACGAUGUCAACUAGUUGUUGGGGAUUCAUUUCCUUAGUAACGUAGCUAACGCGUGAAGUUGACCGCCUGGGGAGUACGGUCG
rnacentral:rRNA from 1 species